rnacentral:rRNA from 1 species
AACUCCGACCGGAGACGGAAGGAGUGCUUUUAUUAGAUCAAAACCAAUCGGUGGCGGGUUCGCUCGUCAUCGUACAACUUGGUGACUCUGAAUAACUUUAUGCUGAUCGCACGGUCUCGCACCGGCGACGCAUCUUUCAAAUGUCUGCCUUAUCAACUGUCGAUGGUAGGUUCUGCGCCUACCAUGGUUGUAACGGGUAACGGGGAAUCAGGGUUCGAUUCCGGAGAGGGAGCCUGAGAAACGGCUACCACAUCCAAGGAAGGCAGCAGGCGCGCAAAUUACCCACUCCCGGCACGGGGAGGUAGUGACGAAAAAUAACGAUACGGGACUCAUCCGAGGCCCCGUAAUCGGAAUGAGUACACUCUAAACCCUUUAACGAGGAUCAAUUGGAGGGCAAGUCUGGUGCCAGCAGCCGCGGUAAUUCCAGCUCCAAUAGCGUAUAUUAAAGUUGUUGCGGUUAAAAAGCUCGUAGUCGAAUCUGUGUCUUGCGCCGCCGGUUCAUCGUUCGCGGUGUUAACUGGCGUGUCGCAGGACGUCCUGCCGGUGGGCUUAGCUCGCAAGGGCGGCCCAACUCAAUCCUGCCGCGGUGCUCUUCACUGAGUGUCGAGGUGGGCCGGCACGUUUACUUUGAACAAAUUAGAGUGCUUAAAGCAGGCUAAAACUUCGCCUGAAUACUGUGUGCAUGGAAUAAUGGAAUAGGACCUCGGUUCUAUUUUGUUGGUUUUCGGAACCCCGAGGUAAUGAUUAAUAGGAACGGAUGGGGGCAUUCGUAUUGCGACGUUAGAGGUGAAAUUCUUGGAUCGUCGCAAGACGGACAGAAGCGAAAGCAUUUGCCAAAAACGCUUUCAUUGAUCAAGAACGAAAGUUAGAGGUUCGAAGGCGAUCAGAUACCGCCCUAGUUCUAACCAUAAACGAUGCCAGCUAGCGAUCCGUCGACGUUCCUCCGAUGACUCGACGGGCAGCUUCCGGGAAACCAAAGCUUUUGGGUUCCGGGGGAAGUAUGGUUGCAAAGCUGAAACUUAAAGGAAUUGACGGAAGGGCACCACCAGGAGUGGAGCCUGCGGCUUAAUUUGACUCAACACGGGAAACCUCACCAGGCCCGGACACCGGAAGGAUUGACAGAUUGAGAGCUCUUUCUUGAUUCGGUGGGUGGUGGUGCAUGGCCGUUCUUAGUUGGUGGAGCGAUUUGUCUGGUUAAUUCCGAUAACGAACGAGACUCUAGCCUGCUAACUAGGCGUAUUUUGACAUCGCAAAGGCCCGCCGGUAUCGGGGUUCGCUCCUUUAUCGUGCGCGGUUUUUACUGUCGGCGUACAAACAAUUCUUCUUAGAGGGACAGGCGGCUUCUAGCCGCACGAGAUUGAGCAAUAACAGGUCUGUGAUGCCCUUAGAUGUUCUGGGCCGCACGCGCGCUACACUGAAGGAAUCAGCGUGUCCUCCCUGGCCGAGUGGCCCGGG